rnacentral:piRNA from 1 species
UAUCUCAUGAAGCAGCAAGAGAGUGA